rnacentral:rRNA from 1 species
UACGUAGGGGGCAAGCGUUGUCCGGAAUCAUUGGGCGUAAAGCGCGUGUAGGCGGCUAGAUAAGUCUGCUCUGAAAGCCCGGGGCUCAACCCCGGGAGGCGGGUGGAUACUGUCUAGCUCGAGUCCGGAAGAGGAGUGUGGAAUUCCUGGUGUAGCGGUGAAAUGCGCAGAUAUCAGGAGGAACACCAAUGGCGAAGGCAGCACUCUGGGACGUGACUGACGCUGAGACGCGAAAGCGUGGGGAGCGAACAGG